AUCAGUGCAAGGUUGUAUUGAGUGGAAGGAGCUCUCAGCAGAUGGCGGAGCCAGAAGGGAGAUGGUUUUCCCUUGGAGUCAGGCAACAUCCUCGGGAUGUCCAGCAGCUUGUCUUCUUCCACCAAUGUGCUCCUCUCGCCACCCAGUGGCUUCUGUUUCUGCCUUGCUAGGGUCCUGGGUUUUUAUAGGCACAGGAUGGAGGCAUGGCAGGCCAGGGUAGUCUUGGGAAAUGCAACAUUUGGGCAGGAAAUGCCUGUCCUCACCUAGGUUUGUGGGGGUGGAGCCCUAGCCAGGGACCACGCCUUCCUCUACGCAGCACUUCCCUUCCCUCCUUCUGUAUCAUUUAAAGGGACCACGCUUCUCCCUUCUCAGCACUCCCUUUCCAUAUCAACAAGAGGCCAGGGACCGGCUGGACCCCUAGGAGCCAGGUCCUACGGAUAGGUGAGCCGGCACCCCAGGGCAAACACCUCCACUGGGAAAACCUGACUGCCCAGAGCUGGAUUCUUUACUUGUAAAAGGGGCUAUGAGUGACAUAGGCUUGGCCUGCUGUACCUUGAGGAAGGGAGAGGCUAAAAAUUCUGCCCUCCCUCCUAAAGCCAGCCAGGCUCUUUAUGGUGGGGAAGGAAGGAUUUGUUUGUUCGCACUCUUCUGAAAUAAAAGUUUUCUAUCCUCCCUCCUGGCUGGAGUUGGGAGGGCCCCAUGGGUGGGCUAUGUGAUGUGGCACAGGGUACCCAGGGCAGGGCUGGGAAGGGUGGGGUGCAGGGGCCACCCACCAGGUGCCUGGGCUUACUGCACUGAGCAGACACGGGCUCUGGCCCCCCCUCACUGUCCCUUCCAGGCCCAGCCUGUGUUCAGGGCCCAGGACAGGGUCUGGCCAGCAGGCCCCGGGCCUCCAAAGCUUUCCCAGCCUCUGGAGUGUGUGUGAUGAUGAGUGUUCAUGGAGCUUCCUGCAUGCUGGGCCCUGGGCUUCUGAGAGGGCCACCGGGUGGAGACUGAGUCACAAGGUGGAGGGCCAGUCCCAGGGACUCCAGGUGACCUCGUGUCAGCACCACACCCUUCUCCCAUGGGCAGUCCUGGGUGCCCCUUCCUGGCCUUGGGCCCAGUGGCUUGGGCCUGACCCCGUCCACUCCCUGUUGGUUGUCCCAGCAGCAGCAGGAGCCCACGCUGGAGAAGGUGUUAUGGGGCAGGUGGAGGGCCCGGCUGGCUCAGAUCAUCCCCCAAGUUUCUUUUCAAUUCACACUUGUUUAGUGCAGCUUUUCCUCCUCAAAUCCCCCUCACACAGGCAGACACCCUCUUGGCCCAGGGUAAUCUGCUGAGCCUUUGCUCAAAUAUAAGCAGCUUUGCUGCUUUCUAAACACAACUAAUCCAAUUUGGGAUUUGGGGAUUCGAGGUGGGCAGCACUGGGCCUCAGACGAGCCCCCAUCACCCAGACCCAUGCAGGAAGAGCCAGGCAGGGUGGGGCCCUGGGGCCACCUGGUGGGCUCGGGGCCAGCGCAUCACAAUGUCCCCAUUCUUCACACUACGGGGCUUCCUGGUUGCAGAGUUGGGGGGACUCAGCUGGGAAUGCUGGCCAUAGAGGCAGAGAGUCCCCAUCCCGCUGGGCCAGCCCUGACCUGGCUUCUCCAGGGCGGCCCAGUGUCCCCUUCUGCCCUUCCCCUGGCCCCCACCGUCCACGUCCCUCUACCUGCCCACCGUGGACAGCAACCAACACAGUGCAGUGUGGCCCUGCAGUGACACCAGCUGCAGAGAGUGCCAGCUCGUUCCUGAGGGGCCCAGCCUGGCAGCCACAGAUCCUGUUUAAUCCAAGCCCCACAAUGUCACCAGCUCAUGGCUUGGGAGAUGGGCUCGUUCAGGCCCUGGCAGGUGGGGCCAGAGCUGGGCUCUGACCUCUGUACCCACAUCUACCACCAUGGAAAGUGUGGGAAGGGGGGUGGGGAGGCACGGCCAGUUGAGGGUCCAGGCCUGCCCCAGCCCACCAGACGCUCGCCCUGGCUGCCCUGAUCUAGCAGCUAAUCUGUGCGGGGCACUGUGGCUACAUGGUGACUCCACACUGGGACAUUUAUCAGAAAUGGAACUGAUGGAUUAAAGUGGAACCAAGCGAA